rnacentral:rRNA from 1 species
UACGUAGGGUGCAAGCGUUGUCCGGAAUUAUUGGGCGUAAAGAGCUCGUAGGCGGUUUGUUGCGUCGGCUGUGAAAUCCCGAGGCUCAACCUCGGGUCUGCAGUCGAUACGAGCAAACUAGAGUGUUGCAGGGAGACUGGAAUUCCUGGUGAUAGCGGUGAAAUGCGCAGAUAUCAGGAGGAACACCGGUGGCGAAGGCGGCCUGCUGGGCAGUUGCUGACAC